rnacentral:rRNA from 1 species
GACAGAGGUGGCUAGCGUUGUUCGGAUUCAUUGGGUGUAAAGGGUGCGUAGGCGGUUUAGAAAGUUGGAUGUGAAAGCCCACAGCUCAACUGUGGAAUUGCAUCUAAAACUACUAGACUAGAGUGCGAGAGAGGUGAAGGGAAUUCCCGGUGUAAGGGUGAAAUCUGCAGAGAUCGGGAGGAACACCAGUAGCGAAGGCGCUUCACUGGCUCGCAACUGACGCUGAGUGCACGAAGGCGUGGGGA